AUAAUACUCCCUCCGUCCGGAAUUACUUUUCAUCAAAAUGGAUGUGUCUAGAACUAAAAUACAUCUAGAUACAUCCAUUUCAAUGACAAGUAUUUUCGGAUGGAAGGAGUAGUAG
rnacentral:pre_miRNA from 1 species